AUUGAACGCUGGCGGCAGGCCUAACACAUGCAAGUCGAACGAGUGGCGGACGGGUGAGUAAUGUCUGGGAAACUGCCUGAUGGAGGGGGAUAACUACUGGAAACGGUAGCUAAUACCGCAUACCAUCAGAUGUGCCCAUAUGGGAUUGGCUAUUUGGUGGGGUAACGGGUCACAAAGGCGACGAUCCCUAGCUGGUCUGAGAGGAUGACCAGCCAUACUGGAACUGAGACACGGUCCAGACUCCUACGGGAGGCAGCAGUGGGGAAUAUUGCACAAUGGGCGCAAGCCUGAUGCAGCCAUGCCGCGUGUAUGAAGAAGGCCUUAGGGUUGUAAAGUACUUUCAGCGGGGAGGCGUUACCCGCAGAAGAAGCACCGGCUAACUCCGUGCCAGCAGCCGCGGUAAUUC
rnacentral:rRNA from 1 species